UACUUAAGCCGCUAAAAUGAUUACAGCAUAACCUGGUCAGGUUGGAAACAAAGCAGCCACAUUGCCUCGGAUCGUGUUUGGCGGUCAUUUUUUUUAUU
rnacentral:SRP_RNA from 1 species